rnacentral:miRNA from 1 species
GUGAGUGGGAGGCCAGGGCACGGCAGGGGGAGCUGCAGGGCUGUGGGAGGGGCCCCAGCGUCUGAG